AGAGAGGCUACCCGCUGCUCCUCUACAUGACACGUCUCACACCCUCCGUCCCUCCCACUAUUCUCCUAAAUGCAAAGCCGCAGCCUGCAAACCGCUUUCUGUACACUCGCCACCUGUCCUAAGGAGAAAUGACCUACUGGGCGCGACUUCGCUGACCGUGUUUCUCAUGGUCUCUUCUAGAAAGCUGCCUUGCGACCAGUUCUGGCACAGACGUCUAACCCAAGGCCAGCCGCUUCGUUUUCUCACCAAUUCCCAAGAUCCCUCCUCUCCAGGUGUGAGCUAAGGGGACACAGAGACAGUCUGGUGGAUCCUGAGCCCGAGGGGCCGCGAGCUCAGAGAAACAGGUGCAGAGAUGUGGCAUUGGGUGACAGUAAAAUAGGAGGGCAGCUGAGAGCGGGCCCAUCGUCUUCGUCGGCCGUCUUCAAACAAGGGAAUGAUUCCAAAGCCAUCUUCGGGUUGUGGUCCUGAGUCACUGGCCCUGCCUGGUCCAGCCCUGGGAUAGACAGCCGCAAAGGUUAUUGAAAGAAUGCGACUUCUGUCUUCAGUGCUCUCGCUCUCUCUCUGUGUCGAGUCACCCCCUCUGCAGGAAGCAAGCUGCCAUGUUGUAAGGGUACGUGGGCAGCCUGCAGAGAGGCUAACACGUGAAGAAUAAAGCCUCCAGACACCAGCAGCAAACAACCGACCAGACACCGGGUCAACAACCGUCUACGUGGGCCCAGGAAAGAAUCCUCCCCAGGUGAGUGUUCAGAUGAGACUGCAGCUCACAUGCAACCUCACAAAAG